AUUUCUCAAAUGGAUACCGCUUCCCUAAAUGCAACAACCACUGAAGGCUGAAGCCCUGCUUUUCAUCCCGCCAUCACAUCCAAUGGCCCGAAUUCUCUAAUAUGGCAAUUUCCUUUCAUUUAAUAUUCAUUCUUUCGACACUAACAGAAGUUCAAUGUCACUGUGGAAGAUUCUUCAGACUUUUGUCAUCUUCAGAACUCUAUCAAUACCCUAUGUUGAUCUAUGAUCAUGCUUGUUAUUAAAUUUUGUCGUUGUAGAUGUAAAAGGUGAUCAAGGAGCGAGUGGAAUGAAGGAUUUGGACAUAAACCAAGUGUUGUCAGGAGGAGGAGAAGAGGACUGGAACAUGACGGCGAGAAUGGAAGAAAGCAUCAAUGGAUGUCCUCUAUCCUGUGAGUGACUUAUGUUGAUGACUCUAUCCUGACUCUAGUAAGUCUGCUCUAGUAUCCAGCUUCAUGCUUCAGUUUACUGUCAUUUUCAAACAACCCAUAAAGACUGCACGGGUCCUCUCCCUUCUGUUCUCUGUAACCCUUACAAAACCGUUGACAGUUUGUCUGCUUAAAUGCCAGAAAUUCAGCUUAUUUUUGUCGUCUCAAAUAUAUAGCAAAGAUCCAAUUUUUGUUAUAAUUUGAUUUUACAUUUGAUUUCUUAUCUGGUUCAUGUAAUUAAGCGAAGGUAACUUUGCGACUAUUUCACGUAUGGAUUUAAAUGUCUAGUAAUUCUAUUCCCCUUUGGAUAUGGGUUUCUGUAGUGCUUCUGUUUUGUUCAAUAGUUGAAUUUGCAGUGCUUCUGUUUUCGUCAACAGUUGACAGGGGAAGUUCUGAUUUAAUUGGUAAGAAGGUACUCUUUUGUUUUGAUUUGAUUGUUAAGGUCCUUAAAAUGCUGCACAUUGAAUGGGAGCUUUACAUGUUCUCAAGUAAGCCAUGAAAUAACUCUGCCAACAGACCUUAUAUGCCCAAUUGAUCAAUCAUGGAGUUCAUUAGUUGAUAUCUCCUUGGACACCAUCUUUCCAUUUUUCUCGUUUCUACUGUUCAACUAAAUCGCAAAAUUAUUUAUCAAACACAAUCUUAGUCAUAAUCUCAUAUUAAUUUUAUGUGAUUUUAUUUUGUACUGUCUGUUUUUGUUUAAUUUCAGCACUGUAGUUUUGUUUUACAAUUACUUUUCAGAUAUCAACACAACGAUCAUUUUCUAUAGCUUCUGCUGUUAUUUCAUUGUUUUAUUCUCUAUGAUUAGAAAUUGGAUUCUGUAAAAAAUUCCAGUUGGCCUAACUACACAACCUUCAAAAUGAAGACUCUUUACAGUUUGUGUCUUUGCCAAUGCUGUUGUUGAAAGAUUGGUUUUUUAUGGUGGUCUUAUUAAGUCUCAGCUCAAACAUCUAGUUUAGGAAAUGUGGUUCACUUGAAGAGAACGUGCUUAAUUGUAGUACUGUUGUAAAUGUUCUGGGUUCUGAGCAAGCUUGUAACUUUAGUUGUUUUGCUUACUGAAAGCUCAAUUCUUUUUAUCUUAUUGUGAUUUCAUAAGUUUGUGCUCACCAUUGAACACAUGUACUUCACUUUUGGAAGAAAUCUACUUGAUUGAAGUAUUUAUAAGCUAAUUGAAGUACCUGUGUUGUAAUUAUUUUGGCUUGCAAGAAAAUUUGUAACUUUACUAAUGCUCAGUUUUUGAUAUAUUGAGUCAUUGGUUUGCCUCUAGAUAUUUAAACUCAGCAUUUAGUUGAGCAAAUGUACGUCACUUUAACAAGUCUAAUUAAUUGAAGUACUCAUAAGUUAGUAUCAAUUUGCUUUUUCAUAUUAGUUUUAAUUUAUUUUUCAAUGCUAAGAUCGAUAAUGCUAUAUGUUUUCUGUUUCUAAGUGUGAAUAGAGUUGUAUGUAGUAGUUGUUUGCCUUGUGUUUAACUGUUAAAGGUUUAUCUUUGUAGAGUUGGCAUGGUGUUGCCAACUGUAGAGGUGAGAUAUAAGAAUUUGAGAUUGGAAGCUGACUGUGAGAUUGUUCACAGAAAGCCCCUCCCAACUCUAUGGAAUUCUCUUAUAGAUUCACUUUUGCUCAUUUUCUGUUGAGCCAUAAAUUGAAUUCAUAUAGGUGCUAUUUUGGCUGUAAAUGAUGUUUUAAAUUUUAUUACUGAGAGCUUUAAAUAUAUGGUCGUUGCUUUAGAUUUGUCAUUGUCGAAAAUUCUUUCAGAUGCAGCUUACUUGAUGUUUUGAAUGAUUAUUUUAUUGGUUAGUUGAUAUUGAAACCAUGUUUCAUAAGUCCUCCCAGAGCUUACAGGUUCAAAGUCAAAUCAAGUUCAGAUAACCAUCAUUAAUGAUAUUAGUGGCAUCAUUGAGCCUGGAAGGGGAAAAGUUUUCUUCAGUGGUUACUGGUUGGAUGAGUUUGUUCCCAGAAAAUGUCUGCUUAUAUAUGCCAAGAAAAUCUGCAUUUUGCACAAAUGACUAGGGGAAACAUUUGAUUUUUCUACCUGAUAUCUUUGUGUUGGAAACCGAGGAAAUUUGAUGAUGGAAGUCAAUAAAAGAGAGGCGUCAGCAAUUGUUCCGGAAGUAGACAUAGAUACUUUCAUGAAGGUCCUUGGACUCGAUAUUUUCGCUGACAUAAUGGUGAGAGUUGAGAUGAGAAGAGGCAUCUCUGGAGGUCAAAAUAGGACACUGAGAACUGGUAACCAGGGAAAAGUGUCCUGCAAUGGUUACUUGUUGGAUGAGUUUGUCAGGCAGAAAUCGUCAGCUUAUAUAAGCCAAGCAGAUCUGCAUCUUGCUGUAAUGACUGAGGGAAACACUUGAAUUUUCUGCCUGAUGUCUUGGUGUUGGAAACUAAGGAAAUAUGAUGAUGGAAGUCAGUAAAAGAGAGGAGGCUGGAAUUGUUCCAGAUCCAGAUGUAGAUACUUGCAUGAAAGUAUAUUCAGCAUAUUAUUCUUGUUUAUCUAAUUUUAUCUCAUUUAUCGAUUCGUUAUGUUUCAACAACUAUUUUUUGAUCAGUCAGUGCACCAAUAUCCAAAGUUUAUCAUCAAGUAUUCUACAAAAUGACAGUAUACUGAAUUCUUAGGAUUACCUUUGUAAAUUUUUUGUAGCAAAGAAAAUGAUUACAUACUCAGGAUAUAAAUUCCUAAACAAUAUGUUUAAAUUCACUUUUUAAAUCAGUUAAAUGCGGUGGCUGCAGAAAGCUUCUCACUUUCUGGUGGCUGAGGUUCUGAUAUUUAACUGAUUGUUAUGGUCUAGGUUCUUCCAUCAGCUAACUCUACUUUUCGCUGUGCAACUUACCUCUAUAUCCAUGUUUCGGUUUUUGGCACCAGUCUGCCAGACUCUGGCUCCUGCUAUGACAGCUGGUGUUUUUGCUGUACAGUAGUCCUAGUUUUCUUUGGUUUCAUUAUCACACAUGGAUAGGCUAUUUGGACAUUUUCCAAUUUGAUCCAGAAUUAUCAUCAAACAGGAUAAACUUUUGUUGUGUUAUUGGUUGCAACCUCCAUGUCAAGGUGGUUGAAGUGGGGUUUCUGGAUUUCCCCUCUUUCAUAUGGAGAGAUAGGCCUUUUAGUAAAAGAAUUUCUUGCUCCUUGGUGGCAAAAGGUGAGCUCUUAUAGAAACACUUUUUGGUUUCUCUAAUCAAGAAAACUAUGCAACAAUCUUGUCAGCUAAUGAAAUUAUUUUUUAUAUAUAUAGUCAGACGGUAGUUUUAUCUAUGAUAGUGUUUGUGCUAUCCACAAACACUACCAUAAGGUACUUGAAAGCCGUGGAUUAAACUUUGAUGAAUAUUAUUUCUGGCUAGCACUGAGCACCUUGUUUGGCUUUGCUUUACUUUUCAACAUUGGUUUUAUCUUGACCUUAAGUUUCUUGAAGCAUAACUUCAUCUUGUUAUCAUAUAUUAACUUAAGAAGAGUCAAUGCCACUCAAGUUUGUUCACCCAAUCUAAUUCAAAUGCAGCUUUCUGAAGAAAAGUUGGCCAAGAUUCAAGGAAGUUAAGAUUUCAGUGAUAGUAAACUUGUGGAAUAGAAGUCUAGGAAUUCUCCUACAAAAGGUGAUUUUAAUUUCUUACUUUCAGUUUCAGAUUUUUAACCAUUCUUGUUCUGAUUGUCUUUAUUUCACUUUAAUUUUUUACAUUAUUUUCUUUCUUGUCUUAUCUUAAUUAAAAGGCGGGAUGGUCUUACCUUUUGAUUAUCAAUAAUAUUUCAGUAUAUGAACUAUUAUGUUUGACAUUCCUGCGGUAGCCAUUCUGCAUUCAAGAACAAUUAUUUCCAUUGCAUGAUAUUCAAAGGCAUCAUAUCUCAUUCACUCAUUUUGAGAAGAAGAAACUCCAAACUGCUUUCUCAUAUUUCUGUUGGAUUAAGGCCUGGUGUGCUUUCAGCAUUGAUGGGUGUUAGUGAAGCUGGAAAAUCCACUCUUCUGGAUUUUGGCCAAAGGAUGUUGUGUUGAUAACAAACUUGUGCUUCUUGCUUUAAUCUCUUAUGAAUCAAUCAGUAAGGGUUUGUUAGUACUGAAAGCUCUGAGCUCAUUCUUCUGGAAAACCUAACUGAGGUAAUCCAAUUGUCAUGAAUUGAGUAAUCUGUGUUUGUUUGAUUGAUUUUCAAAGGCUUAGAUUUGGACUGACCGGGAUUACCAACCUGGACACUCAGAAAAUGUUUAUAAACUAAUGAAAGCUCUGUUUUUCACUCAAUGAAUCCUCAACAUUUUCAUCACACAAAUAAAGUUGAGUAAUUCAUUAAUAAAAUAGUUAUGUGUUAGGCCUCCAAUUAUGCACAUAUACAGAAGGAAAGCAAAAUAAUUAAACGCAAGAAGAUCUCAGGCACAUAAUCAGGAGAAAACAACAAACAAUGAGCAGGCAAUUCAGAAGACAGCAAAGAGACAAAAUCAAGGAAGAUAAUGGAAGCUGAAAUCAAGGCAUUAGGGCAGAUAACAGCAGCUGGAAUCAAGGCCAAAAAACAAGACCAAGAUCGAGAGAACAAAGCCAAAACAGACUAGAAAAAGAGAAGAUGGGAUGAAGAAGAGGCAAGCAAGAAUUCAAUAAUUCUUUAACGGGGAUUUACAGCCAAAAGAGGGAGGGCGUUGGCACCUCUACUUUCAAUAUAUUUCUUAUAGUUUUUAUUACUAUUUUUCGUAAGAGAAUAAACACAUUUCUAUGUUCACAGUUAAAAUUCAAUUGUUAAGAGAGGAAUAUUGUGAGAUGAAAAAGAUCACUGGUCUAUCAAAUUGCUCUUGGCAUUGUUGUCAUGCCUUUCUGUUUAUGUACUCAAAUGAGCCUUUUCUUCUAUUUAUUUUGAGUUAUUCUAUUGUAAAGAUGUUUAAUUUAUACUUGCACUUCUCUUC